rnacentral:rRNA from 1 species
GACGAACGCUGGCGGCGUGCUUAACACAUGCAAGUCGAACGGAAAGGCCCCUUUGGGGGUACUCGAGUGGCGAACGGGUGAGUAACACGUGAGUAACCUGCGCUUGACGUCGGGAUAACUUCAGGAAACUGGGGCUAAUACCGGAUAGGAAUCCUUGCUGCAUGGUGGGGGUUGGAAAGCUUCGGCGGUUUUGGAUGGACUCGCGGCGUAUCAGCUUGUUGUUGGAGUAUUGGCUUAGCACGGCUUUGACGGGUCGCCGGCCAGAGAGGGCGACCGGCGAUUUUGGCCCUGGGAUUCGUCGCGGUCUCCUACGGUAGGCAGCCGUGGGGCAUUUUGCUCCAUGCGCACACGCCUGAUGCCGUGCGGCCGCGAGCGCGAUGACGGCCUUCGGGUUGUAGUCCGCAUGCAGCAGGCGCGCUGCUUGUCGUGACGGUACCUCCAGAAGAAGCCCCGGCUAUCUACGUG